UACGGAGGGUGCAAGCGUUAAUCGGAAUUACUGGGCGUAAAGCGUGCGCAGGCGGUUUGUUAAGUCCGUUGUGAAAGCCCCGAGCUCAACUUGGGAAUUGAAGUGGAUACUGGCAGGCUGGAGUACGGUAGAGGAAGGUGGAAUUCCCGGUGUAGCAGUGAAAUGCGUAGAUAUCGGGAGGAACACCAGUGGCGAAGGCGGCCUUCUGGACCAGUACUGACGCUCAUGCACGAAAGCGUGGGGAGCAAACAGG
rnacentral:rRNA from 1 species